ensembl:rRNA 5S_rRNA 5S ribosomal RNA
GUUUAUGGCCAUACCACCCUGAACACACCUGGUCUCACCUGAUCUUGGAAACUAAGCAGGGUUGGGCCUGAUUAGUACUUGGGUGGGAGAAUUAAAAGGGAAUCUAGUUUGUACAGC